CCAGACACCCUAAAAGCUUGGUCACACCUCAACACAAUAGUUUCAUCUUUUAAAGGGAAACCUGCUUCCCCCUCAGAGCUUGCAAUAGUCACGACACAAGGAGUUACUACCUUCUACUUACCCCCGUGUUAUUCCCACUGUCCCUCUUCCCAUGUGUUUUCUCACCAAUAUAUAAUUUAGGCACCGAUGCCCAGCACUAUGUAAACUCUACUUUGUUAUAUCUACUUUGUUAUAUCAGAACGUGUGCGUCACACUGUUUCAUGUUGACAAAUACUUUGUUAAUAGUUUCACAUCAUGAUGUAUACUGUUACAACAACCCUCUCCUGAUGUUUCAGACAUGUUAUUCACCCCAUGACUCUCGUCUUUAUUCUGUAAUUUCUCUACCUGUAAAACUAAC